AUAGGGGUGUCAGCUGUGACCCUCGAAGGAAAGGGAUCACCCUCUUUCUGACCCUAUACCACCUUCAGCAGGGAUGAAGGCAGUCAGAGAAAACUUAGUUAAAAAAUUUCUAAACUGCUUUGCUGAUUUGAUCUGGGGCCCUGGAGUGCCAACAUCCUGUGAUAGCGGCUGAUUGUUGAUGCCUGGGAGGAUACAGCAGUGACGAUCCAAAUUUACAAGACUCAACAUGGUUUUCAAAACUUCCUUUUAAAAAAGAUGUUCCUGAGUUCUGGAAUCUGAACAAAAUAUGUCUGGUUAUUAUAUAAUUCUAAUGGUCCUUGUGGAUGCUACCAUUAGAGUUCAGUUAGUGUCUCAUCUAUCACUGUAAUAUUUGUAUUGUAACACUAAUCGUGGCA
rnacentral:lncRNA from 10 species